AAGUCGUAACAAGGUCUCCGUAGGUGAACCUGCGGAGGGAUCAUUACAAGAACGCCCGGGCUUCGGCCUGGUUAUUCAUAACCCUUUGUUGUCCGACUCUGUUGCCUCCGGGGCGACCCUGCCUUCGGGCGGGGGCUCCGGGUGGACACUUCAAACUCUUGCGUAACUUUGCAGUCUGAGUAAACUUAAUUAAUAAAUUAAAACUUUUAACAACGGAUCUCUUGGUUCUGGCAUCGAUGAAGAACGCAGCGAAAUGCGAUAAGUAAUGUGAAUUGCAGAAUUCAGUGAAUCAUCGAAUCUUUGAACGCACCUUGCGCCCUUUGGUAUUCCGAAGGGCAUGCCUGUUUGAGUGUCAUGAAACCUCACCCCACUUGGGUUUUUGCCUGAGCGGUGGUGUAUUGGGUGUUGCCUUGCUAAAGGCUCGCCUUAAAGACAUAAGCACCUUGGAUGUAAUACGUUUCAUCCUUCUGGGUGGCUGAUAACCCCACAUAUUCAUGAUCUGGCCUCAAAUCAGGUAGGGCUACCCGCUGAACUUAAGCAUAUCAAUAAGCGGAGGAAAAGAAACUAACUAGGAUUCCCUUAGUAACGGCGAGUGAACCGGGAUGAGCUCAAAUUUAAAAUCUGGCGUCUUUCAGGCGUCCGAGUUGUAAUCUAUAGAGGCGUUUUCCGCGCCGGACCGCGUCCAAGUCUCUUGGAAUAGAGUAUCAAAGAGGGUGACAAUCCCGUACUUGACGCGACAACCGGUGCUCUGUGAUACGUUCUCAAU
rnacentral:sRNA from 1 species